rnacentral:misc_RNA from 1 species
GACGAACCGUCCUAACGUUGUUCGGAAUCACUGGGCUUAAAGGGCGCGUAGGCGGUCGGCAUAGUCAGGGGUGAAAUCUUUCGGCUCAACCGGAAAAGGGCCUCUGAUACUAGUCGACUCGAGUGAGAUAGGGGCACGUGGAACUUCCGGUGGAGCGGUGAAAUGCGUUGAUAUCGGAAGGAACGCCGGUGGCGAAAGCGACGUGCUGGAUCUCUUCUGACGCUGAGGCGCGAAAGCGUGGGGAGCAAACAGG